UACGAAGGGGGCGAGCGUUGUUCGGAAUUACUGGGCGUAAAGGGCGCGCAGGCGGUCCACCAAGUCAGGCGUGAAAGCCCCGGGCUCAACCUGGGAAUUGCGUUUGAGACUGGUGGACUUGAGGACGGGAGAGGAGAGUGGAAUUCCCAGUGUAGAGGUGAAAUUCGAUAGAUAUUGGGAAGAACACCAAUGGCGAAGGCAGCUCUCUGGACCGUUACUGACGCUGAGGCGCGAAAGCGUGGGAGCAACAGGA
rnacentral:rRNA from 1 species